GAUGAAGAACGUAGCGAAAUGCGAUAAGUAAUGUGAAUUGCAGAAUUCAGUGAAUCAUCGAAUCUUUGAACGCACAUUGCGCCCGCCAGUAUUCUGGCGGGCAUGCCUGUCUGAGCGUCAUUUCAACCCUCAGCCCCCGCUCGCGGGGCGCUGGCGUUGGGGAUCGGCCGUCCUCGCGGCAGCCGGCCCCGAAACACAGUGGCGGUCUCUCGCGGACUCCCCUGCGUAGUAGCACUACCUCGCAGAAGGGGCGAGCGGGCUGACCACGCCGUAAAACCCCCCACUUCUCCAGGUUGACCUCAGAUCAGGUAGGAAUACCCGCUGAACUUAAGCAUAUCAAUAAGCGGAGGA
rnacentral:misc_RNA from 1 species